UUAAAAGGCCCUCUUUUUGCAAAAAUAAAGUUCCUUAUGUAAGAAAGGAAAGAAGACAAACCCUCACAUUUAAAAAAAAAAAUCAUCUUCUUCAUUUUUGCUCUUCAUUUUUUGGGGUUGGACAUCUUAUCACCAUUGGAUGAGAUUUUGAAGCUUUGAAGUGAUUCUUGGACACUUGGUGGAACAUUUCUUCACUAUGGAGUAUUAUCAAGAUCAGAAACUGGAUCUCUUUCUCUGAAUCUUUGAUGCUGAAACUCCUUUGCUGAUGAUCUUUCUUCACGAUCUUCCUCACUAUGAAUGAGGUAUUACUUGCUGUGUGUGGGCACUACUCUAAUCACUAAAGGAAUUUCGAAAUAUGAAGGAAGAAGAGAGAGAGAGGGUGGCGGCCAAGGUAGAGAGAGAAAGGCUCAGGUUUUCUGAUUCAGAAGUGUAAUUUUCCUGAAGCCUUCACUAUCUAUUUAUAGCAUUCCACUAGGGUUAGGUUUGAAUUAUUUGGCAUUAAAAUAAUGAAAAUAUCAGUUUAAAAUGCCUACAAAAGUGGUCGGCCAUGGCUUAUUGGGUUUGGGCCUUGCUUUUUGCAAUUUUGCAAUUUUAACACUUUUGUAUCUGAUUUUCUCAAAAACGUCAAUUUUCUAAUUCUACCAUUUAAAUGUCAA